rnacentral:rRNA from 1 species
GUGUCAGCCGCCGCGGUAAUACGGGGGGGGCAAGCGUUGUCCGGAAUUAUUGGGCGUAAAGGGCGCGUAGGGGGAAUGGUAAGUCAGAGGUGAAAUUCUUGCGCUUAACGCAGGAACUGCCUUUGAUACUGCUAUUCUUGAGUAUGGAAGAGGGAAGUGGAAUUCCCGGUGUAGCGGUGAAAUGCGUAGAUAUCGGGAAGAACACCGGUAGCGUAAGCGGCUUCCUGGUCCAUUACUGACGCUGAGGCGCGAAAGUGUGGGGAGCAAACAGGAUUAGAUACCCUGGUAGUCCACACUGUAAACGAUGGGCACUAGAUGUUGGACCGCAGUGCCGCAGCCAACGCGCUAAGUGGACCGCCUGGGGAGUACGGCCGCAAGGCUAAAACUCAAAGGAAUUGGCGG